GUGAAUCAUCGAAUUUUUGAACGCAAAUUGCGCCUUUUUCGGAAGGCAUGUGUGUGUCUGGGCGACAUUUAACAAUUACUGUGCAUUUCGUGUGCACACGUUGAUGAGCUUUCCAACAUUAUGUAUUAUUAUUUUUGGUUGCGCAUAAUAAACAGCGCGUUGCUUUUUUUCAGUUCGAGUGU
rnacentral:misc_RNA from 1 species